rnacentral:rRNA from 1 species
AUGGAUCGCGCCGCGUGCCGCCCCGCCACGCGCAGGCCCUCCCGCGCCGCACGUCGCCUCGCGCGCCAGCUCGCCGCCAUCGUGGCCCCGCGCGAGAUCCUCUUCGAGAAGACGCCGGAGGACACCCUCGAGGCCAUCUACGUCGAGGUUCCCCUGAAGCCCGGCCAGCUCAGCGGCCCGGAGAACAUGUUCGCCGUCCUGUUCAAGGCUGAGGAGGAGGUGGCGGCUUCCAGCGACGACGGCAAGUCCGCGGCCGGCGACGACGAGGAGGCCCCGGAGGGCGACGGCGACAACGAGGGUGCGGAGGACGACGACGGCGGCGACAAGGCCAGGGCCGCGGAGGGCGGCGACGGCGACAACGAGGGGGCGGAGGACGACGACGGCGGCGACAAGGCCGCGGCCGCGUAG